rnacentral:rRNA from 1 species
UAGUCGCAUACGUUAACGAACGAGACCUCGACCUGCUAAAUAGUUCGACAAAGGAUUCUUCUUUGGACGUGACUUCUUAGAGGGACUAUCGGUGUGUAGCCGACGGAAGUUUGAGGCAAUAACAGGUCUGUGAUGCCCUUAGAUGUUCUGGGCCUGCACGCGCGCUACACUGAUGAAGUCAUCGAGUUCAAUUUCCUUUAUCGGAAGAUAUGGGUAAUCUUUUGAAACUUCAUCGUGCUGGGGAUAGAGCAUUGCAAUUAUUGCUCUUCAACGAGGAAUACCUAGUAAGCGUGAGUCACCAGCUCGCGUUGAUUACGUCCCUGCCCUUUGUACACACCGCCCGUCGCU